rnacentral:rRNA from 1 species
GAUGAACGCUGGCGGCGUGCCUAAUACAUGCAAGUCGAGCGAACGGACGAUAAGCUUGCUUCUCUGAUGUUAGCGGCGGACGGGUGAGUAACAUGUGGAUAACCAACCUAUAAGACUGGGAUAACUUCGGGAAACCGGUGCUACUACUGGAUAAUAUUUUCAACGGGAUGGUUCAAAAGUGCUUGAGGGUCUUGCCGACACUUAUAGAUGGAUCCGCGCUGCAUUAGCUAGUUGGUAAGGUAACGGCUUACCAAGGCAACGAUGCAUAGCCGACCUGAGAGGGUGAUCAGCCACACUGGAACUGAGACACGGUCCAGACUCCUACGGGAGGCAGCAGUAGGGAAUCUUCCGCAAUGGGCGAAAGCCUGACGGAGCAACGCCGCGUGAGUGAUGAAGGUCUUCGGAUCGUAAAACUCUGUUAUUAGGGAAGAAAAGAUGUAUAAGAAACUGUGCACAUCUUGACGGUACCUAAUCAGAAAGCCACGGCUAACUACGUG